GGGAUGACGUCAAGUCAUCAUGGCCCUUACGGCCUGGGCUACACACGUGCUACAAUGGUCGGUACAAAGGGUUGCCAAGCCGCGAGGUGGAGCUAAUCCCAUAAAACCGAUCGUAGUCCGGAUCGCAGUCUGCAACUCGACUGCGUGAAGUCGGAAUCGCUAGUAAUCGUGAAUCAGAAUGUCACGGUGAAUACGUUCCCGGGCCUU
rnacentral:rRNA from 1 species